CCCCCCCCGCCCCGACCAAAAGGUUCUCAUGUUGCUCCUUCGUUGCUCCCGAAUUUAAAGCUAUUGGUUAAAUAAAAGUGCCUACAGCCAAUUACUGGGAAAAUAGAAAUAGGUAGAGUUUUAGUUUCCAGGCCAGGGGUCGCAGGCAGGGAUCAGGAGGAGAGAAAAAGGAGAAAGAAGGCAGGAGAACAAGAGCUUUCCAUUAGACAAGAUAGACCAGGGACAUGUGGCCCAGUGAAAUGUCCCCUGAGGACAGGCUGAUGAAACAAAUAACCUGGGCCAGCAAAGCUGGGGACUUAAGAGUACAGUGUAUAGAAAAAUGGGUUACGGGUAAUUCACAUAAUAAUUGUGCUAAAGCUGAUUUUUUAAAAAUCUGUCUGAAUUGAUUAUUGGGUAAAGGCUAAAUCAAAUUAAGAAUAGAAUUAAUUAAUAACUUUUCUCUCUUUUUUUAAUCAGAUAUGUUCUUUAUUUACAUUUCAGAUGUUAUCCCCUUUCCCAGUUUCCCUCACAGAAACCCCCUAUCCCAUCCCCCUCCCCCUGCUUCUAUGAGGGUGUUCCCCUAUCCACCCACCCACCCACUCCCACCUCCCUACCCAGGCAUUCUUCCACACUGGGGCAUUGAACCUUCCAGAACCAAGAAAGGACCAACCUCUCCUCCCAUUGAUGCCCAACAAGACCAUCCUCUGCGACAUAUGUGGCUGGCACCAUGGGUCCCUCCAUGGUAUUCCUUGGUUGAUGACUGGUCCCUGGGAAUUCUGAGGGUCUGGUUGGUUGAUAUUGUUGUUCUUCCUAUGAGGUUGCAAAGCCCUUCAGCUCCUUUGGUCCUUUCUCUAACUCCUCCAAUGGGGACCCCAUGCUCAGUCCAGUGGUUGGCUGCAAGCAUCCGCCUCUGUAUUUGUCAGGCCCUGGCAGAGCCUCCCAGGAUAACGUUUUAGCAACAGAUUCCACUUACUCCCUACUCAGAACAAAAACCAUGUCAUUCAUGCCUCCAUCCCAGAUCUCUUACUGAGCAUCAAUCAAUGAGGAAUUACUGCUUAUAGUGAAGACAAUGAGCCAACACUAGGGAAGGAACUUAAACCAAUGUACAGAAGAGCCCACUAUCAACAUUACUACAUAGAAUAGUGACCCUUAGCCUUCCUAAUGCUGUGACCCUUUAGUGCAUUUCCUCAUGUUCUGGUGAUCCCCAACCAUAAAAUUAUUUUAUUACUACUUUAUAACUGUCAUGCUAGUGUUAUGAAUUGUAAUCACAAUGCAGAUGUCUGUUUCUUGAGUGGCCCCUGGGACAGGAUCAUUCCCCACUGAAGGACUCAGGAGCCACUGGUUUUUGAGAAGCACUGACAUGGAAUAUCCAUAUAGCAAGUCACAGAGUGUGUAAAAACAGUGCACACUAGCAGGAAAGCCAGAGAAGAACAUGCAAGCUAACGAGCAAUUUAGACGGUGACGCAAAGGAGAAAAGGUCUGAUGUGUUCUUGAGUUUUGGGUUGAGACAAGCUCUCAUUAUGGGGCCCUGGUUGACCUGGAACUCACUAUGUAGACCAGAUUGAGAGCCUGAGUUUGAUCCCCAGGACCCACGUGAAAAUGUUGGAUCUGGUGCUGUGUGCUUGUCACCCCUUUGCUACGAGAUAUGGUGGCUCACAACCAUCUGUAAUGGAAUCUGAUGCCCUCUUCUGGUGUGUCUGAAGACAGCUACAGUGUUCUCGUGUACAUUAAAUAAAUAAUAUUUUUUAAAACAUACU